rnacentral:misc_RNA from 1 species
GGUGGUGAACUAUAGGAACACCGAGGACUAUCGGAAGUUCGUCGCGGAGACGAUUGCCUCCGAAACCAAAGCAGUCGAGGCGCUUGGCCUCGGCAAGAAGAAAAAUUAAGGCACGCAAAAGCGUGCAUCGCGAUGUGGCGGAAGAUCACGCGCGUUCGUGUCCAGGAGGGGAGGACUUGCGAUCAUGGAUCGUCAGGAAGCGCGUCGAGGUUUGCNCAGUUCCGAACUGUGGGGCGGGCUCGUCGGCCUUGCGCUCGGCAUCUUCGUGAUCUGGGCC